UACGUAGACGGUUGGAUAAGUCGGAUGUGAAAGCCCCGGGCUCAACCUGGGAAUGGCAUUCGAGACUGUUCAGCUAGGGUGCGGAAGAGGGAAGCGGAAUUUCCGGUGUAGCGGUGAAAUGCGUAGAUAUCGGAAGGAACACCAGUGGCGAAAGCGGCUUCCUGGUCCAGCACCGACGUUCAGGUACGAAAGCAUGGGGAGCAAACAGGAUUAGAUACCCUGGUGGUCCAUGCCAUAAACGAUGAGGACUAGACGUUGAGAGGGUAAGCCUCGCAGUGUCGUAGCUAACGCGCUAAGUCCUCCGCCUGGGGAGUACGGCCGCAAGGUUGAA
rnacentral:rRNA from 1 species